rnacentral:rRNA from 1 species
UACGGGGGGGGCAAGCGUUGUUCGGAAUUACUGGGCGUAAAGGGCUCGUAGGCGGCCAACUAAGUCGGAUGUGAAAUCCCCAGGCUCAACCUGGGAACUGCAUCCGAUACUGGAUGGCUUGAAUUCGGGAGAGGGAUGCAGAAUUCCAGGUGUAGCGGUGAAAUUCGUAGAUAUCGGGAGGAACACCAGUGGCGAAGGCGGCGAUCUGGGAAGAUACUGACGCUGAGGUGCGAAAGCGUGGGGAGCAAACAGG